CCUACGGGGGACUGCAGUGAGGAAUAUUGGUCAAUGGACGAGAGUCUGAACCAGCCAAGUAGCGUGAAGGAUGACUGCCCUAUGGGUUGUAAACUUCUUUUAUAUGGGAAUAAAAUGUUCCACGUGUGGGAUUUUGUAUGUACCAUAUGAAUAAGGAUCGGCUAACUCCGUGCCAGCAGCCGCGGUAAUACGGAGGAUCCGAGCGUUAUCCGGAUUUAUUGGGUUUAAAGGGAGCGUAGGUGGAUUGUUAAGUCAGUUGUGAAAGUUUGCGGCUCAACCGUAAAAUUGCAGUUGAAACUGGCAGUCUUGAGUACAGUAGAGGUGGGCGGAAUGCGUGGUGUAGCGGUGAAAUGCUUAGAUAUCACGAAGAACUCCGAUUGCGAAGGCAGUUCACUGGACUGCAACUGACACUGAGGCUCGAAAGUGUGGGUAUCAAACAGGAUUAGAUACCCUAGUAGUC
rnacentral:rRNA from 1 species